rnacentral:lncRNA from 1 species
AAAAAAGAGAAAGAAAAAAAUUCACAUAUAUGCUCGGAACAACAAAAAUGAAAAAAGAAAAAAAGAUGCAGACUACAUUGGCUUCACACAAGUCUGUGACAUAACACAGCAAGCGAUAUUAUACAUCUGUCAUCAUCUGUGUUAACCAUGGAGCAAGGAAAACGUUAGGAGGGAGCAUCGCGCAACGCGAUUGAAACCAAACCUGUCGGCCCAACACGUGAUCGCACGUCAAAGGGCGCGGUUGGUUUUAGUGUUCCCGCUAUGCAGGCAGAGCCACGGCAGGGCAGCCCAACAAGCGCGCACCGAAUAAAAACUACUGGCAUAGCUACUGGGAACCAAACGUCUCAGUAAAUCUCAAUUCUUGCUCCGUGAUAUCGAUGCAAGAGGUCACGUGUUGGGCCGCCACUGAGCAAAGGGACUAUGGUUUCACGGAGCGCUCGCUUUCCAAGGCUGGCUGCAUGACGUAAUGCUCUAUCCUAACUUUUUCCUUCCUUCAUGUAGACAGCAACGUCA